UACGUAGGGGGCAAGCGUUGUCCGGAAUCAUUGGGCGUAAAGAGCGUGUAGGCGGCUUGGUAAGUCCGCUGUGAAAGUCCAGGGCUCAACCCUGGAAAGCCGGUGGAAACUGUCAAGCUUGAGUCCGGAAGAGGCGAGUGGAAUUCCUGGUGUAGCGGUGAAAUGCGCAGAUAUCAGGAGGAACACCGGUGGCGAAGGCGGAUCUCUGGGCCAUUACUGACGCUGAGGAGCGAAAGCGUGGGGAGCGAACAGG
rnacentral:rRNA from 1 species